rnacentral:rRNA from 1 species
GAUGAACGCUGGCGGCGUGCCUAAUACAUGCGAGUCGAGCGAACAGACGAGGAGCUUGCUCCUCUGACGUUAGCGGCGGACGGGUGAGUAACACGUGGAUAACCUACCUAUAAGACUGGGAUAACUUCGGGAAACCGGAGCUAAUACCGGAUAAUAUAUUGAAUCGCAUGGUUCAAUAGUGAAAGACGGUUUUGCUGUCACUUAUAGAUGGAUCCGCGCCGCAUUAGCUAGUUGGUAAGGUAACGGCUUACCAAGGCAACGAUGCGUAGCCGACCUGAGAGGGUGAUCGGCCACACUGGAACUGAGACACGGUCCAGACUCCUACGGGAGGCAGCAGUAGGGAAUCUUCCGCAAUGGGCGAAAGCCUGACGGAGCAACGCCGCGUGAGUGAUGAAGGUCUUCGGAUCGUAAAACUCUGUUAUUAGGGAAGAACAAAUGUGUAAGUAACUAUGCACGUCUUGACGGUACCUAAUCAGAAAGCCACGGCUAACUACGUG